AUACUUACCCAGCAGGGCAGAUACCAUGAUCAUGAAUGUGGCUUUCUCAGGGUGAGACCUAUCCACUGCAUUCUGGAGGUGCUGACCCCCAAGAUUCCCCAAAUAUGGGAAAAUCGACUGCAUCGCUUGUGGCAGUGGGGGGACGGCAUUCACACUCUUCCCUG